rnacentral:lncRNA from 1 species
AUCUUCUUCAAGGUAAAAUCAGAUUUAUUAGUGUAAAAAGGGGCUUCAUAUGUUGAUUUCGCAUUCGAUUUAACUGUCCUGAAUGUUCUAAGAAUCUGUCCAGUCUUAUUGCCAUUCUCAUCUUCUAGCUCCCAAGAAUAUAUUUUUUCCGAAAUUGUUGAUGUGGUUGUUUAGUUUUCUCCUCGCCUUUAGAACCGGCAGCCCUUCAAGUGUAGUAAUCGGCGAAAUACCCAGAAACAAGACCCCAGGUGGCUCCGCACCCAUUUAUCUGUGUUUAUAUUUUAAUAUAUUGAUUGCAUGCUGGGUUAUCAUUGUUAGAGAAGUAGGUGUAAUAAAAAAUAAUAAUGCUAUGCAGGGUAGGUGUGGGCAUAUCAUAUGUCAUGUAGAAUGAGCUAUAAUUUCUUGUUUUUAAUUGCACUUAUAAUUUAAUGCCACUGAUUUGCCAUCUAAUAAUAUCUUCAAGAGUCUUUUUAAAUACGAGAUGCUCUUUAUUUUAUAGAGUAACCCUUAAAAUCAUAUUCAAAGAGACUCCUUAAAUUAAAAUUUUAAUUUAGAGAACUCUAUAAUUAAAUACAUUCAAAGUGUUUCAAUUUUCGAAAUAGGAAAAUAAUAAAAUAAUCUAGAGAAAAACUAGUUAAAAUAAAAGAUAGAGAAAAAUUUUAAAUAUUUUUUGAGAGUAGUAAAUUAAUUGUUAAGUUUAAAGAGUUUAUUGGAGGACUUCAAAAUUUUAAUUCUCUGAAUUUAUGGAUGCUCUCCAAAUGAUAAAAUGUACUCUUUAAAAAGUAAAGAGUUUCUUGGAGAUGUUCUGAACACCGGUGGUGUAAAAUAGCUUUACUCAACUAUAAUAAAAAUUAGAAAGAAAGGGGUUCAUGUAUUUAGUUUUCCUUUUCUUGGAGUGAGAGGUUAGCAACUACAAAGAAUGCAAAUAAGUUGCUAUGUUAUUCUGUUUAUGGUACAUAUUGCUCUUCGAAAUCUAAAUUACUUAUAAAGUUUUUGAGAAUAUAUGUUAGAAUUUGUAUAUUCCAUCUCUAUAAACAGUCAAAAUAAACAUAAAAAUAUAUAUUAAGUUUCAAGCUCGUUUGGAAUUAAUGGUGUGGUCAAUGCUCAUUAGUGCCUGGAAGUAUCUUUCGCACAUUUAGUACUAGAACUUGUAGAGGCAAGGUAUGGUAUCAGAAUAUUGUCAGUUAUGGCGCCAUGAGGCAUGCUGAUUACAAAAAUGUAAACUAUCGAAUGAGAAUUAUCUAUUCUUAAAUUAUAAAUUUUGAUGGAAAAGAUGUUACAAAUAUCUCACAAUGAAUUUAGUUACCUUUUUUAAAAAUUUAAUCUCAUGUUGUAGUUGAUUGGCUUUGGCUUUGGCUUUGGAUAUUCAAAACACUAACAAAGAACCUUUAUUUUAUAGGUUGUUUGGAAUGGGUUGGAAGGCAGCACAAAAACUCAUACAUCACUGGAAGAUCCUGAGAGGCGACAAUGUAAGGAAAAUGAAAUCCGGCUGUUUGUCGUUCCAAAUGUUUUAGAUCCUCUCUCGCGCUGCAAAUAAAUAGCUACUCAUUUUCCCUUAUCAUAUGCAGGUUAUGAUUUUACGGGGAAAGGACAAAUGAGAGACUGGUAUAAUUAAGCGUGUUAUACUCACUCAAAAUCGUGUUAUUGUUGAGGGCAAGAAUUUGGUGAGUAAGUCUCUCUCUUUCUAAUUUGUUCGCUACAGGAAGCAUGGUUUUCCUGCUCCAGAUGUUCUGCAUGUACAGAACUGUAGUUUUUGGCUUACAACUUUUCCAGUUCAAAUGGAACACGACCUAAAAACUCCUCUAUAUAAUUUUUUUCCAUUUUUUCUUCUCCUUUUUUUUUUGUAGUUUUCCUUCCUUAUCUUGAGGGAGUGCGUGGGUGGGUGGGGUUAUUAAUCUGGUUUAGCGUGGUUUGAUAUAUAAUAGCAAUUGUUUCCUAUUUGGAUGAGCUUUAAAAACCAAAUGAUUGUACAUCGUAGCAGUCCUAUUAUGAUGAUUUAGCAUAUAUCAUAGUUUCCAAACUCAGCCCAGAUAAUGACUGGUUAUGUUAUAGGGUCAACAAGUGGGUCAUUGGUUCUACUGGUGGGUUGAUGAUUAUAUUAUUAUUAAUCAAAAGUCAGUUGUUUAAUACUUAAUACAAAUUAUAAAUGCGGUUUAAUAUAAAGAUAGUUAAAUAUAGUUAGUUUUUCUCUGUUACUGAACAGUAUUUAUAUAUAUAUGAUAGCCUGAAAAUAAAAAAAAUCAACAGCAUGCAUUAUCCUAGUGAUCAGCUGGUUAACAUGAAACCAUGGGUCUUGUGUUCGACUAUUGCAGGGCCAGGCAAAUGCUUUUUGCAAAAGACCAUGAGUUGUCUGGUUCAACUAACUUGUGGGUCCGUUUAUAGCAAAAAACCAGUCUCAACUGUCUUUGAUUGGUUCAAUGUCAAUCCGAUCUUUUUAGAGCAUGGGGUGAGCCCAUAAUCCAGUUCACCAGGACUCUGGUUACACUGCAAAUUUUGUGUAUAAUGCGUUCACUAGUUUAACAGAAAUCAUGUGUAAUUUUUUUCUUUUAAUCUUUUUUCCUUUGUCGGUGAGAGGGGGUUGGGGUGCAAGUUGUUGGUUUUAUGGUUUAGCAGAUUUAUGACAGAGCUACACCAAAGACCAUGCGCACAGGGAAAAUUUUUGUCAGAAAAAUAGAAUAAUAGUACCUCUUGCACCCUGGUUCAAUACCAUUCCUUCUCCUUUAGUGAAGUCUUGGCACUUCGCUAACUUAUAUUGUGUGGAAAUUGUAGUAAAACCCAGGAAAGUCAUGAAUAGUGCUAGUAUUGUACUUUAGGUUUUGUCGUCUAUGGCAGUAAAAUUUCUCGUUUAAUUUGUUGAGUUUGUAUUUUCUUCAUGUGCCUGAGUCACUGUCACUGUUAAACUAGCCUCUGCAGGUGAAGAAGCACAUCAAGCAAGGGCAACGUCAAGGUCAUGAAGGGGGGGGGGGUUUAUGGUGGAAGCCCCACUGCACGUCUCAAAUGUCCAGGUUUUAGAUCCAGUCACGGGUAAGAUGUUGGCGUCUGAUUGUUCUGAUGUACCUGUGUUUUUUCUCGGUCAAAUAGUGGAUCAUAGUUGGUUUUACAGGAAACCCUAUUGUUGUUUCUAGAGUUUGAAGUUACUCCUUCGAAAACAAUCCGACAGAAUCACCUGAAUGUAAGAAAUGAUUAACAGGAUCCAAAAUGUAAUUCGAGCCCACCGACUUCACGAUAUUUCUUUAAAACGAAUUUGCUACCUUCAAUGGUGCUAAAGGCAUCCAGCAAUCAUUUCUCAGGAUAGAACGAAUUUUCGUCUCUUACGGAAGCAGCACAGCAAUUUGUAGGAGUUCCAACGAGCUCCACAAAGUGUAUUUGACUUUGAAACAAUAUCAGAAUGAGAGAGAGGAGAAUAAGAUUCAAAGCACAGAAAGUUUGCAAUGAAAAUGGUGCGAGUUUUUUGGCAGAGAGGCAGACUAUUUAUAGAUUUGUUCGUGGCCAUUCGAAUAGUUGUCACCUUUCAGACAAAUCUCAAAAAUCCAAAACAGACACGUUGUUCUAAAGUCGCGUCUGUUAAGUCGGUUAACAGUCGGCUGUUUAGUCGGUUAACAGUCGACUGUUUGGUCGGUUAACAGACGACUGUUAAACAGUCCAUCCAGACCAAAAAAUCACCUGGAAUAAGCCAAAAAAUUUACAUUUCAUAAUGUACCCAAGAAUUUGAUUAUUUACAAUUUUGCAUAAAAAUUUAAAUAAAAUUUGUCCAAAAAACUUAGCAUAGUGCAAAGGUCAUCCCGCACCCGAACACGACUCGGACACGUGCACGUGCACGUGUUCGUGCCGUGCCGAGUCGGCCAGAAGAACGGUGGCGGCGACGACGUGCGCGUGUGGGUUUAUGACCGAACCCAAUAGGAUACAGGUCUUCCCCCUUCCAAAGACUAUUGGUACCCCUUGGGGCCCAAACCCAAUUUCCAAACUUCCACCUUAUAAACCACACCAAAGUUUCCUAACUUUCCUAUGUGGGAUAAGUGUUUGGAAAAUCAAAUUCUUCCAUAAUACUUAAUUUUAUGUGGGUUACUUUAACACUUAAUAUUUCAUUCAAUUCUAAAUGGUUUUCCAUAAAUAAAUAUAUCACGUUAAUCAUCUCGCGGAGUAGAAGGUGAAUAUGCUUGGUCCUGUAUUAAUUAAAAGGUGGGUCCUACUGAAAUUUGGGCUCAAAUUUGAUCCAUUUCAUAACCAUUUUUUCAACAAUCCCCCACAUAAAUGAAAUAUGUUGGUCUUUUCCAAACAGUAACAUCUAAUAUGUUUUUCAAAAUAAAAAUUGAAGAAAACUGCAUCGGAAUAAGUAGUCAAUGACUUUGAACUUUCCCUAGUAAAAUCUUUCGAAUUUCCUUAGCCAAUCAGUAGCAAGUUGCUUUGAACAGUCAGCCGUUCAUGGAAAUCUAAACAAUAGAAGUAACACAGUUAUCUUCGAACACAGUUGGUUCUCAUGUUUGUGUCCAUUUUGGCCUUGGACACCUCCUGGUUCAUGAGUAGUUUUUAGAUAAUUUAUCUUCACCUAAUUUUCUUAGAAGCAACCCCUUCUCACUCACAUAGGUGAUUUCCAUAAAGAGUAUUCUGCUAUACUCCACUUGAACGAAUCAAGAUAUAGAAAUAAUUAAAACCGUAUCUUAUCCUAUUUCGUGGCAGCUAGGCACUGGUUCAUCAUAGGAAUGGGUAGGAGUAAAGUCUUCCCAGUGCAUACUAAGUUUUUAACAGUUUGAUUGUCCCAUUGAACCUAGAUCUUGAGAUCUCCAGUCAACUAGGUUGGGUUGCCACCAUGGAAACUUUUGAUUAUUUUAUUAGUUUUAAUCUCAUCCCCUUCGAUGAACUUUCGACUUGCUCUCUUGUUAAACUUUUAGUUAGUGGAUCCGCAAUAUUCUCUUUUGAUUUCACAUACUCUAUAGAGAUAAUGCCAAUAGACAGCAAUUGUCUAACAGUAUUGUGUUUACGGCGUAUAUGUCGAGAUUUACUGUUAUACAUUGCAUUUUGUGCCCUACCAAUUGCUGAUUGACUAUUGCAAUGGAUACAUAUAGCAGGCACAAGAUUUGUCCAACAUGAAAUAUCUUCUAGAAAGUUUCGUAGCCAUUCGGCUUCUUCUCUAGCUUUGUCUAAUGCAAUGAAUUCAGAUUCCAUUGUUGAUCUAGUUAUACAUGUCUGUUUUGAAUAUUUCCAUGAUACUGCAGCACCUCCAAGUGUAAAGACAUAUCCACUUAUUGAUUUGGAGUCUUUAGUAUCUAAUAUCCAAUUUGCAUCAUAGUAUCCUUCAAGUACUGCUGGAUAUCUCGAAUAGUGCAAUCCAAAAUUUUGGGUAUGUUUUAAAUACCCUAAAACUCUAACAAUAGUCUUCCAAUGAUCAGUGCUUGGAUUACUCUUAUAUCGACUUAGCCUACUAAUUGAAUAGGCAAUAGCAUGUCGAGCGCAAUUCAUGACAUGCAUUAAACUGCCAAUAAUACGAGAGUAUUCCAAUUGAGACUUACUAUCACCAGUAUUGGAAACAAGAUGCAUACUAACAUCCAUACGUGUUUUCAUAGGAAUAAUAUCAUAUUUCUUGAAUUUAUCAAGAAUUUUCUCAAUGUAGUGUGAUUGAGAUAAUAUGAGACCAUCAGAUGUUCUAAAAUUUUAAUUCCUAGUAUAACAUCAACCACACCUAAAUCCUUCAUUUCAAAUUUACUUGUUAGCAUCCUUUUUGUAGUUUGAAUUAUGGUAUCAUUGUUACCCAUAAUCAACAUGUCAUCUACAUAUAAACAUACCAUGACAUAUCCAUUUGGAGUGUUCUUGACAUAAACACAUUUGUCACACUCGUUAAUUUUAAAACCAUUUGACAUCAUAACCGUAUCAAAUUUUUCAUGUCAUUUCUUAGGAGCCUGCUUUAAUCCAUAUAGUGAUUUAACAAGUCAACACACUUUCUUUUCUUGUCCUGAGACCACAAAUCCUUCAUGUUGCUCCAUAUAAAUUUCUUCAUCUAAUUCCCCAUUCAAAAAAGUUUUAACAUCCAUUUGAUAUAUAUUCAAAUCAUUCAAUUCUGCUAUUGCAAUAAGCAUACGUAUGAAAGUGAUUCUUGUCAGAGGAAAAUAUGUAUCGAAAUAAUUAAGACCUUCUUUUUGCUUGUAGCCUUUAGCGACAAGUCUUGCUUUAUAUUUGUCAAUCGAUCCAUCUGCUUUCAUUUUCCUUUUAAAAAUCUAUUUACAUCCCAAAGGCUUAUUAUCGGGAGGGAGGUCUACUAAUUCCCAAGUAUGAUUUUGUAGUAUGAAUUCAAUUUUAUUAUGAACAACUUCUUUCCAAUAUGAAGCUUCAGUUGAUGACAUAGCCUCUUUAAAACUUUGAGGUUCAUUUUCUAACAAGUAUGUUAGAAAGUCAGGCCUAAAGGAGGUUGGCGUCCUAGCCCUCUUACUUCGUCUAGGUUGUUCAUAUAUAGAUUCUUGAUCUAUAGUCUCUUCAUUUUCACGAGAUCUCUUUUGUGAAUUUGAUUCACCUUGCAUAUUAUAAGGAAAAGUAUUUUCGAAAAAUGUAGCAUCCCUUGAUUCAAUAAUCGUAUUAACAUGCAUAUCGGGUAUUUCAGACUUAUAUACCAUAAAUCUGUACGCAUUACUAUGGUAGGCAUAACCAAUGAAUACACAGUCAAUGGUUUUAGAUCCUAUCUUAACCCUUUUAGGUUUAGGAACUACUACCUUAGCCAAACAUUCACAUACCUUCAAGUAUUUAUAAUUAGGUUUGUGACCUUUUCAUACUUCAUAAAGUAUCUUAUGCGUUUUUUGAUGUGGUAGUUUGUUAAGAAUAUAGUUAGCAGAAAGCAAGGCUUCCCCCCACAAGUUCUACGGUAAUCAAGAACUUAUUAACAUAGCAUUCAUCAUCUCCUUCAAUAUUCGAUUCUUGCGUUCAGCAAUACCAUUAGAUUGAGGAGAAUAAGGCGCAGUAGUUUGAUGAAUAAUUUCGUGUUCCGAACAAAAUUUCUCAAAUGGUGAAUCAUAUUCACCACCUCUAUUACUUCUUAUGGCCUUAAUCUUUUUACUAAGUUGAUUUUCAACUUUUAACUUGUAGUGUUUAAACGCUUCAAUUGCUUCGUCUUUGCUUUUGAGCAAAUACACAUAGAAAUAUCGAGUACAAUUAUCGAUAAAAGUGAUAAAGUACUUAUUACUUCCCCCAGUUUGAACAAAUUUUAAAUCACAUAUGUCAGUGUGAAUUAAAUUUAGGGGUUCAGUACUUCUUUCAAUAGAACGAAAGGGUAAAUGUGACAUUUUGGCUUCUACACAUAUAUCGCAUUUGUGAUUAGGGUUUGAAUCACACUUUGGUAAUAAAUCUAAUUUGAUUAAUCUAUGCAAAGUGUUAUAAUUUGUAUGUCCUAAUCGUUCAUGUCAAAUGUUAAAUGACUCGAUUCUUAUUCAUAAUUGGAGGUACAAUAGUCAUUACAUUCAACUUAAAGAGCUCCUCAUUCAGGUAGUCCUUUCCUACAAACAUUUCAUUCUUUAAGAGUACAAAUUUGUCUGAGACAAAUACUAGUUUAAACCCGUUCUUACUUAGUAGAGAACCAGAUACCAAGUUUUUCCUAAUAUCGGGCACAUGAAAAACGUCAUUCGAAGUGAGCUCUUUUCCACUUGUCAUUUUUAGCACUAUCUUCCCAUGUCCUUCUACCUUGGAAGAUGACGAGUUUCCCAUGUAGAAAUGUUCAUCAUGAUCCAUCGCUUUGUACGUAGAGAACAUCCCGCGAUUUGAGCAUAUGUGACGAGUAGCUCCAGUAUCCACCCACCACUCCUUAGUGUUUCCAGCUAAGUUACAUUCACAGACAACCGCAGAAAGAUUCAUGUCUUGUACCUUAUCAAUGAGGUUCUCAUGUUCUGUUACAUUGGUCUGGUGAGUUUUUUCCUUCACAUUCUUUGGCUUUCGACAAUUUUUGGAUUGAUGUCCUGCCUUGCCACAAUUGUAAUAGUUGCCUUUAAACUUUUUAACAGUUUUUGAAGAAUCAGUUUGUCCUUCACCAUUGUGCUUCCUCUUUUUGCUAGUCUUGAAGCCUCCUUCUACAAUGUUGAUUUUUGAUUCCAUCGAAUGAGAUGCACCAUUCCUUUUUUCAGUUUUGCGAUUUUCUUCUUCUAUUCUCAAUCGGACAAUGAUAUCUUCAAGUUUCAUUUCCUUCCGCUUGUGCUUUAGGUAAUUCUUGAAAUCCUUCCAUGAAGGUGGUAAUUUUUCAAUCAGUGCAGGGACUUGAAAAGAUUCACUUAGUUUCAUUCCUUCGGCAUGGAUGUCGCUAAGUAUGAUUUGAAGUUCUUGAACUUGGGAUAUGACAGUCUUGCUGUCAACCAUUUUAUAGUCCGAAAAUCGACCGACAAUAAAUUUCUUCGUGCCGGCAUUUUCGGUUUUUACUUGGUGUCUAAAGAUUUCCAUAGUUCUUUUGCGGACUUCAUAUUGCAGUACACAUUAUAUAAUGUGUUGUCCAAUCCAUUAAGUACAUAAUUUCUGCACAGAAAAUCAGAAUGCUUCCAUGCAUCAAUUGCAGCCAAUUUUUCAGCAUCACUGUCUUGCUCGGUAUAUGAAGGUGCAUCUUUUUUGAGAAAUUUAGUCAGAUUUAAUGUUGUCAGAUAAAAAAAUAUUUUUUGUUGCCAACGCUUGAAAUUUGACCCAUUAAAUUUUUCUGAUUUUUCCCCGUUCGUAUUCGGGAGUGUGGUACCAGAAGUUGUCAUUUCUGAAACACAAUCAGAAGAUCAACUGUAAAAAGGAGUAGAAACAGAAACAGAAUAAUAGCGAAGUUCGUUUUAAGAUUGUUGUUUCUAGAGUUUGAAAUUACUCCUUCGAAAACAAUCCGACAAAAUCACCUGAAUAUAAGAAAUGAUCAACAGGAUCCAAAAUGUAAUUCGAACCCAUCGACUUCACAAUGUUUCAUUAAAAUGAAUUUGCUGCCUUCAAUGGUGCUAAAGGCAUCCAGCAAUCGUUUCCCAGGAUAGAACGAAUUUUCGUCUCCUACAGAAGCAGUACAACAAUCUGCAGGAGUUACAACGAACUCAACGAAUUGUAUUUGACUUUGAAACAAUAUCAGAACGAGAGAGAGGAGAAUAAGAUUCAAAGCACAGAAAGUUUCCAAUGAAAAAAAAAAUUUAAUUUCAUAAUGUACCCAAAAAUUUGAUUAUUUAGUCCAAAAAAGUUAAUAUAGUACAAAGGUCCUCCCGCACCCGCGCACGUGCUGGACGGACGACGGUGCGCGCAUGUGUUUAUGACCGAACUCAAUAGGAUAUAGGUCUUCCCCCUUCCAAAAACUAUUGGUACCCUUUGGUGCCCAAACCCAAUUCUCAAACUUCCACCUUAUAAACCACACCAAAGUUUCCUAACUUUCCUAUGUGGGAUAAGUGUUUGAAAAAUCAAAUUCUUCCAUAAUACUUAUUUUUAUGUAGGUUAUUUUAACACUUAAUAUUUCAUUCAAUUUUAAAUGAUUUUCGACAAAUAAAUAUAUUACGUUAAUCAUCUCGCGGAGUAGAACGUGAAUAUGGUAGGUCUCGUAUCAAUUAAAAGGUGGGUCCUACUGAAAUUUGGGUUUAAAGUUGAUCCAUUUCAUAACCAUUUUUCCAAUAACCCUGUAAGGUUGAAUACAGAUAUUUGGAAGAUGGUACCAAAGUAAGAGUUUCUAGAGGUAUUGGAGCCUUAGGAUCUACGAUUCCUCGCUCAGAAAUCUUGAAGGUUAGGACCACGCUAAGACCAACAGUUGGUAAUAUUCAAAUACUCUACAUUUGUUCGAGUGUUUGUGCACGUGCUUGUUUAUUAUGCUUAUUUCUGCCUAAGGCACGAUGUCUGCAAUUGGAAAUCAUAUCCAACUGUUGCAUAAUACACAUGGAUCUAUUUUAUGGUUUCCGUUUUAAGAAUCUCUGUCACCUAUGAUCUUAGAUGUGACUUGCAUGUUCAGUCAUUAUAGUGAAUAGGGGCAUGCUACAUAAUAUAUACUUAAUAUGCCCAAGUUUAGAGAUGAUAUGAUUCCCUCCAGGUGUGAGCAAAUUUAUCAUAGGAUUCGUUAGAGUCCCAGUUCAGUUGAAGUGAAAUUUUGUAAUAUUUUGGCUUCCCAACACUUUUAAAUUGAAACAAACAGAUUCUGAACAAUGGUAGUCUUAAAAGACCUUUAGGAAAAGCAUGAAAAAAAGGCUCGAAUGGUACUAUCCCUCCGUCACCCCCAAAAUGAAAGAGGUGCCUACACUUCUUUUUUUAUUUUUAGUUUAUUUAUUUGUUUUGUUUGGAAGUGUCUACAUUUUUGAGUGCUUGUUUUAAUUCGUAAUCUGUGAAUCUAAAUGUGGAAUCCAAUAAAUAGAAUAAGAGAACUAAUAGAAUUAGGACCCGUUUAGCAUGACUUUUGAAAAGUCAAAAUGAGCUUUAGACCCAAAAAUUGCUUUUGGACUCAUUUGACUAAUUUUAUUAAAAAAAAUUUGAUAGUUAAAAGAGUUUUUAAAGAAAGUUGGUUUAAUGUGCAUUCCUUUAAAAAUUCUUUCGGAAUGGAAAGUGUUUUUAAAUACUAGUUAUCAAACAAAAAUUACAGUAGUUUCCUUCUAAAACUCUUCUACUAGAAGCAAAAGCAAAAGCUCAAACGGGCCCAUAGUGUUGUUCUACAUGGGUGGAGAAGAUGAAGUCAGAACCCUUUUCUUUUUCUCUAGAUCUAGGGUGAUCCUGUGAUGGAGGGGGGAAAAGGAACUGAAAUUUAAUAUGAAACCUUAGUUAUGGAGUGGUUUAAUUUUAUGACUUACAGUUCCUCUUUUACCUAAUUGCAACUUCUGAAAAUAACUUUCCUUUUAUUUGCUUGGACUAUGGAAAGUACAUUUCCUCGUCCUUUUGGCUUGAAGGCAGUUGAGCUCAAAAUGCAAAGUCGAAAUUUCUUUAUUGUUACUAAUUUGUCUAAUACGAUUUGCUGGUUUAAUUUGAUUUCUUUGUGCAGUUGGUCCAAAGGAUACUUCGUUGAAUUUAAUAUCGGACAAGACAUAUGACUCUAAAACUGGAAUGGGAAUGCCAGAUCUGUAAGAACCCAUCUUAUUGUUUUUCAUGGAGUUACACAGUCCUUUCAGAUGAUGAAAGACAGAAGGAAAAUGAAAGCUCAGGGAUCUGUUGUUUGCAAGUUACUUAGUAUCUGAUUCCUUUUUUCACUCGUGGGAGCAAUGUUUUAAAAACCGACCCAGGCAUUGACCCUGAAAAUGAAGAGAGUUGAGGUUUAAAGGGUCGAAUCGGGAUUGAACCGUUAUCAAACCGGAUGA